UUCACCCAGGAAACGCUUGUUCAUUACCUGGGAGUGUUUUAACCACCAUCUUCUUCCAAAACUUAACUAGUCGUUUUGAUGCCAGGACUUACUGUCAUU